rnacentral:misc_RNA from 1 species
UCACUCUUGUCUGUGUGCGUGUGUGCAAGCAGAGUCUUCAAAACGGACGUCCGUCGUCUUUUCUCUUGUCUGUGUGGGAAGCGGGUGGCGGCGGCGAGGGGGUCUCCAGUGCCCACUGGGUCAUGCAAGAUGUAUCGGCGUCCACGCCGUCCGCAUCGUCUGCGGUGCUCGUCACCUACGCAGCAUGGCGCACCGAGUUGGAGCGCAUCGUCCGACUUGCUCGCAGUAUCGCGCACGACGAGCGAAUGAGCACGGCGGUGGCUGCUGUCACGGGCGAGCCACCCGUCGCAGGCGGCAUCGGCGCCGACGGCCGAUGCUCGAGGCCGUCUACGUUCUCUGCGCCACUCGCGCAAACCGCCGUGACGGCGACGGCACCGUCUUUUCUUCAGCGGAUACUGUACAGCACCCCCACGAGCGGCUCCGAAUCUCCUGCGGCCUCUCCUGUGGCGCCGUUACCGCGAACCCAUGGGGCGCGUAUGGGAAGAGACGUCGAGGUAGUUUCGCUCCUGCAGCUGCUGGCAUUGGCGGAGAUGCCAUCUAGCUCAGAUGCCGUGGCCUUUCCAUCGCCCUCCUCCUCCAGAGCCAAGCAGCGUUUGUUUGCCGAGGCGCUGGAGGCCGUGUCCAUCAGCAUCGCGAGCAGCAGCCGCAGCGGAGGUCCUGACGGCAGCCCUAGUGGCAACGCGGCAGCACGGCCGCCUUCCUUGAUAUCCUACUCGCACGCCAUACUGCCGAUGCGCGAGACAGCCUCGGCUUCCCUCUCGGCAGCAGCAGCGCCUCAUACGCCCUCCCCCGCUUCUGCCGGCACGUGGCGGAGUAGUGGAGGUGGUGGAGACCGCGAGGGCGACUUCGGCCUGCUCUUUGGGCGGCUCAAGCACCAGGCGGUGGAGCGCAGUCGCACCGUGUAUACGGCCACCUCAUCCUCGGGUUCGGCAUCAUCGCCAACCACAGUGCUCUCGCCGUCUGCCCCCGUGGUCAACGCUGGUCUGGACGCCGCACGUGAGGCGCUGGAUGCGGCUGAUGCGCUGCGGCUGCGGCUGCGUCGCCAGUAUCGUCUCAGCACUGCGCCGAACGGGCGACUAGCAGAGGCGCAGACGCUUCUUGUGCGGGCCACGGUAUGUCGCGAGGCGCAGCUGUACACGGGCACGAUUUUGCAUGCCGUGAACCGAUGCUGCAACACUGGCAAAGAGGUGCAGGGUGGACCGCGACACGUACCGGGCCCACAUCGCCAUCGCUCCUCCGCCGCUUCUUCCGCGCCCUUAGGAGCGGCGCCGCAGGGCUGGGCAGCGCUCACCGCUGCGGAGUCCAGGGAGCCUCUAAUGAGCGCCAUUCGAAGGGAACUUGCCCACGUUACUCAGCCGCGGCAGCAAGGCCGAUGUGCGGCCUCCGUCGCGCACGACAAGGGGGGUGGUGACGGCGGCGCACGCGGCGCCACGGAGCCACGGGUCUCUUCCUCGUCCUCAGUGCCGUCGUCAGCGCCCGGCGCCACUGCAGAGACGACGCUUUCCUCCAUCUCAGCCUCGCCGCAGUUCAUGGAGGCACUCGCGCGAUGGCGACAGGUGGUCGAGGCGCAGCAGCGCUCUUUGCGCAUGGAAGAGGUGCACGACUACCUAGCGGCGUCACAGCUAUUCCUCGCAGCCGCUGUGGAGGAGCAGCAGCUCGGCGGCGGCGGAGGCGGCGGUGGCACACGAGAGCCAGAUGCGCCGUGCUGUGAGUCGCCUCUGAUGCUCGCCACUCACGGCGUGACGCACGUGCUGCGUGCUUGUGGCCUUCUUCUCUCCGACACUCUGCUGGAGAAGGAAGUGCCGUACCCUGUCAGUGUUGUGAAGGAGAUGGCGACGGCAGUGGUGUCGGUGGUCACGACUGACGCCGCCGCUGACGAACUCGGUGACACUCGCAGGGGUGACAGGGCCGUUUAUUGUCCGCUGCCGAAUCAGUUGGCGCUGCCGCCGCUGCUCGCGCGAGCCGGCCCGCAUGCCACCCGAGUGUGGAUGCUGCUUGUGCAGCUGGCAUCCUUCCUGGAGCGAAACGCUGUAAAGCUUCCUUGGGAUACGAAGGACGUGUCAACUGGCGCCGCCGCUUCGACUUUGCUGGCAGACGGCAGCGUGCGCAGCAGAACCAGCAGCACAACGCAGCUUCUCUGGGAGCUUUCUGCUGCGGUGUUGCUGCACCGGCCAUUCGAUGCGCUGCAGGCGCUAGAAGACGUUCUUGAGCACGCCUCUUCGUCCACCACAGCGGCUGCGAAGGUGUCGUCGCUGCGAGACCUCUUCAGCGACUACAUGUCGCCGCGGCGUGCACGCCCGUCUUCGUCGGCGUGCUCCGCAUCUCGUGCAGCAGUGGCAGCGGCAGCACCAUCAGCGCCAAACACCUGGAUAACGCAGGUGCAGGCGCAACCAGGCACACUGCCGCUGUGCCUGCUUUCCUUGCGCCGUGCCAUCGCGGCCGCAGUGCGUGCACGCCACUACGCCGAGGCGCUGCUGGAUGUCGAGGUGGGUCUGCACCUCCUGCGGGAGCAGGCGGAGAGGCUGGACCCGGUUCGCAGCGAUGGGCACAAGGCGGAGCCAGCGGAGGAAGUCAGCGAACCGAUCCGCGCCGCGGAUGUGGCCGUCGCCACCGCGGGUGGGACCGACUACCGGCAACUUGUGUACUGGCCCAAAGCCGCAGCGACAGCACAAACCCAGCGAUUGGGCUCGACAAGCGUGCCUACCACGAAGACGGUGGCCUCCGCUGUCACGUACCUCUCCGAUGGCGUUGUGCUGACCAUGCUGCGCGUGCUGCUGAUCUUUAUCACGUCCCCAAUGGCAUCUGGGGAAGCGGUGGCACGGCUGCAGCAACGCCAGCGCGGCAAGGGCUCGUGGUGGAGACGAGACUCAAAGAGGAGGCACGCGAGCCUAUCGUCUUCCGGCACCAGCAGUCCGUCGGCCCAGCCGGAGCGCAGCAACGACGAUCCGCUGGACUGCGCUGGCGACGUUGUCCACUGCGUAGCCAUCUCCCUCAUCUCUGCGCUGGACACACUGGACACCCUGACGGCGCAGCUGCAGCUACUAGAGCGUUAUGUCAUGGUGCCGCAAGGCUCCGCAGCACAGUCACGUGCUGCAUCUUCCAAGACCAGCAACGUGAGCUGCAGAGUCGCAUCAACGACGCCGGCCCGACAGCCCCACGCGGAGGCGCACGACCGCUUCGGCCCGUCCGCAGGUGAGGAGGUGUACCUUCUUCCCUCGUUUCCAAGCCCAGAGCACCGGCUAGAGCACAUUGCCGCGACUGCAUUGAAAGCGGCGAAGACGAGCGUGACUCUGUGUGACGCGCACACGCCAGCAACGAAUGGCGUCGAGAGAGGUGCGCCGAAGGAGAGAACACCUACUACAGCACUUGGCGAGGGGGCGCUCGCGGAGCGCCUCUCCUCUUACGCCGCCGAGGCCGGCACGUCGCUUCGGCGCUCCUCGCGCACUGUCUGCACGCUGACAUCGUCGGCGCGGUAUCAGCAACUCAAGCAUGCGUACCGUUCGCGGUUGCCUUUCCACGUCGGGAAUACUGAGUGCUCGGCGACGCCUACUGGCCCUGGCGCGGACGCAUCCUCCACAGUCGCGCGCGAUGCCGACGAGUUGCUCAACGACGCCGCGCAUGUAGCAGACGUGCAUCCGGAGGUGAAAGCUGAAGAGCACAGCGGCCACAAGGCGGAAGAGGGAAGCCGCUUCAGCACGCAGUCCACUGCUUUGGUGGAGCUGGCGGAAGUCGUGCGCGAGCUGUGGAUGAUGGUGGGGGCGCUCACGCUUCCGCUUCGUGCGGCAUCGACGUGCACAACUCCGCCGACUGCGGCCUCCGUCGCUGCGGCACCAACGCCCCUGGCAGCAGGGGAGUCGUGGUUCGAGGAGAGCACAACGACGGCCACUGCUGCCUGGGCUCCGGUGCGCGAAUCGUGGUCGGCGUGCGAGAGCGGCAUCAGCUACGGUGAAGCGCGUCUCGCCCUUCCUACAGUGGAACCACGAAUGGAGAAGUGUCUGCACGUGCUCGGCGGACGUGACCGGACUGUGCUGGUGCUGCUUCGUCGGCUGCAAUCCGAGCUGCUCUUUCCGGCGGUGUGUCGCCCACUUGCUUAGUGGGUGGGGCGUGACCAGAGAGGAAGGCAAUGGCAGUGGUGGCGGUGAUCACAUGUCCCUGUCUUUGCCUUCCGUGCGGAAGAGAGAGGGGGGCAGAUAGAAGGGACGCCGUCGGAGAGGUGCGCUGAGGAUCGACGACAACGCGGCGCGUGUAUGGGUGAGGGGUGUGCAUGUAUGUCGUUCUAUAUGCAGGUGUAUCGAUGUACUGUGUGUGUGUGUGUGUGUGUGUUGUUAGCGAGAGAGUUCAUCCGUGACACAGCCGCAUGGAAUCACGGUAGAUUUGAACCAACGGGUGAGAGGGAGUGAUGAGGGACGACGGACGGGCGCAUGAUGUGCGCCCUCUACGUCGCCGGCGCCGGUGCGGGUGCGUGCGUGUCCUCCACUCGCCGUAUUGAGGCAACUUG